AUUGAACGCUGGCGGCAGGCUUAACACAUGCAAGUCGAGCGGGGGAAGGUAGCUUGCUACCGGACCUAGCGGCGGACGGGUGAGUAAUGCUUAGGAAUCUGCCUAUUAGUGGGGGACAACAUCUCGAAAGGGAUGCUAAUACCGCAUACGUCCUAUGGGAGAAAGCAGGGGAUCUUCGGACCUUGCGCUAAUAGAUGAGCCUAAGUCGGAUUAGCUAGUUGGUGGGGUAAAGGCCUACCAAGGCGACGAUCUGUAGCGGGUCUGAGAGGAGGAUCCGCCACACUGGGACUGAGACACGGCCCAGACUCCUACGGGAGGCAGCAGUGGGGAAUAUUGGACAAUGGGGGGAACCCUGAUCCAGCCAUGCCGCGUGUGUGAAGAAGGCCUUAUGGUUGUAAAGCACUUUAAGCGAGGAGGAGGCUACUUUAGUUAAUACCUAGAGAUAGUGGACGUUACUCGCAGAAUAAGCACCGGCUAACUCUGUGCCAGCCGCCGCAGAA
rnacentral:rRNA from 1 species